rnacentral:tRNA from 1 species
GAUGAGGUGGCCGAGUGGUUAAGGCGAUGGACUGCUAAUCCAUUGUGCUCCGCACACAUGGGGUUCAAAUCCCAUCCUCAUUG